UGAACGCUGGCGGCGUGCCUACUACAUGCACGUCGAGCGAACAGACGAGGAGCUUGCUCCUCUGACGUUAGCGGCGGACGGGUGAGUAACACGUGGAUAACCUACCUAUAAGACUGGGAUAACUUCGGGAAACCGGAGCUAAUACCGGAUAAUAUAUUGAACCGCAUGGUUCACUAGUGAAAGACGGUUUUGCUGUCACUUAUAGAUGGAUCCGCGCCGCAUUAGCUAGUUGGUAAGGUAACGGCUUACCAAGGCAACGACGCGUAGCCGACCUGAGAGGGUGAUCGGCCACACUGGAACUGAGACACGGUCCAGACUCCUACGGGAGGCAGCAGUAGGGAAUCUUCCGCAAUGGGCGAAAGCUUGACGGAGCAACGCCGCGUGAGUGAUGAAGGUCUUCGGAUCGUAAAACUCUGUUAUUAGGGAAGAACAAAUGUGUAAGUAACUAUGCACGUCUUGACGGUACCUAAUCAGAAAGCCACGGCUAACUACGUG
rnacentral:rRNA from 1 species